GCCCCUGUGGCGGAAUGGUAGACGCGGCAGACUCAAAAUCUGUUGCCCGCAAGGGCGUGUUGGUUCGAGUCCGACCAGGGGCACCA
rnacentral:tRNA from 2 species